rnacentral:lncRNA from 1 species
UUUGUGUGUGGCCAGGGAUUCUUGUGCAUCAGCUCGCAGGUCCAACUCGGUGUGAUUUGCGAAUGUUCCUGCGGCUUGGUCCCUUCUUGUGUUAGGCCGCAUAACCGUCUCGCAGGAUUUUACACUUAGACGCCAAAGGUUCCUUCUCCUGGUGUGCGGCCUGGGCUCUCUUUAGUUCUUCUCGCACGCCCAGGCCGGUGUAUUUUGUGAACCUCAGUACGGCCUGGUCUCACGUGCAACCAACUCGCAGGCCCAACUCGCACAUUUUGACACUUAGCAUUUUCUUGCUCAAAUCUUCUGCUGCCAGGUGAGUAACCCGCAGACCCAGGUAGGUGUGAAAUGCGAACUCAUCUGCGAGAUGGUUCUCAGCCAGGCCGAGCCGCACAACCAAGUAGCAUACAGCUGUUUUUCAAGUUUUCAUGCCUUAAACUCUUCUCUCAGCCUUCUCACAUGCU